AUUUGGGCGGGUGCUAUAAUGCAGUCGAGCGAACAGACAAGGAGCUUGCUCCUUUGACGUUAGCGGCGGACGGGUGAGUAACACGUGGGUAACCUACCUAUAAGACUGGGAUAACUUCGGGAAACCGGAGCUAAUACCGGAUAAUAUUUCGAACCGCAUGGUUCGAUAGUGAAAGAUGGUUUUGCUAUCACUUAUAGAUGGACCCGCGCCGUAUUAGCUAGUUGGUAAGGUAACGGCUUACCAAGGCGACGAUACGUAGCCGACCUGAGAGGGUGAUCGGCCACACUGGAACUGAGACACGGUCCAGACUCCUACGGGAGGCAGCAGUAGGGAAUCUUCCGCAAUGGGCGAAAGCCUGACGGAGCAACGCCGCGUGAGUGAUGAAGGUCUUCGGAUCGUAAAACUCUGUUAUUAGGGAAGAACAUACGUGUAAGUAACUAUGCACGUCUUGACGGUACCUAAUCAGAAAGCCACGGCUAACUACGUGCCAGCAGCCGCGGUAAUACGUAGGUGGCAAGCGUUAUCCGGGAAUUAUUGGGCGUAAAGCGCGCGUAGGCGGUUUUUUAAGUCUGAUGUGAAAGCCCACGGCUCAACCGUGGAGGGUCAUUGGAAACUGGAAAACUUGAGUGCAGAAGAGGAAAGUGGAAUUCCAUGUGUAGCGGUGAAAUGCGCAGAGAUAUGGAGGAACACCAGUGGCGAAGGCGACUUUCUGGUCUGUAACUGACGCUGAUGUGCGAAAGCGUGGGGAUCAAACAGGAUUAGAUACCCUGGUAGUCCACGCCGUAAACGAUGAGUGCUAAGUGUUAGGGGGUUUCCGCCCCUUAGUGCUGCAGCUAACGCAUUAAGCACUCCGCCUGGGGAGUACGACCGCAAGGUUGAAACUCAAAGGAAUUGACGGGGACCCGCACAAGCGGUGGAGCAUGUGGUUUAAUUCGAAGCAACGCGAAGAACCUUACCAAAUCUUGACAUCCUUUGACAACUCUAGAGAUAGAGCCUUCCCCUUCGGGGGACAAAGUGACAGGUGGUGCAUGGUUGUCGUCAGCUCGUGUCGUGAGAUGUUGGGUUAAGUCCCGCAACGAGCGCAACCCUUAAGCUUAGUUGCCAUCAUUAAGUUGGGCACUCUAAGUUGACUGCCGGUGACAAACCGGAGGAAGGUGGGGAUGACGUCAAAUCAUCAUGCCCCUUAUGAUUUGGGCUACACACGUGCUACAAUGGACAAUACAAAGGGCAGCGAAACCGCGAGGUCAAGCAAAUCCCAUAAAGUUGUUCUCAGUUCGGAUUGUAGUCUGCAACUCGACUACAUGAAGCUGGAAUCGCUAGUAAUCGUAGAUCAGCAUGCUACGGUGAAUACGUUCCCGGGUCUUGUACACACCGCCCGUCACACCACGAGAGUUUGUAACACCCGAAGCCGGUGGAGUAACCAUUUGGAGCUAGCCGUCGAAGGUGAACAAAG
rnacentral:rRNA from 1 species